rnacentral:rRNA from 1 species
GAUGAACGCUGGCGGCGUGCUUAAUACAUGCAAGUCGAACGAAGAGUCUUUGUAGCAAUACGAGGGCUUCUUAGUGGCGAACGGGUGCGUAACGCGUUGGUGACCUGCCCCGAAGUGUGGGAUAACAGUUCGAAAGGAUUGCAAUACCGCAUGUGGUUUUCCGGAUUAGAAGCCGGAUCUCUAAAGCAGUAAUGCGCUUCGGGAGGGACCUGCGGCCCAUCAGCUAGUUGGUGAGGUGACGGCCCACCAAGGCUACGACGGGUAGGGGACCUGAGAGGGUGGUCCCCCACACUGGCACGGAAACACGGGCCAGACACCUUCGGGUGGCAGCAGUAGGGAAUAUUGGGCAAUGGGCGAAAGCCUGACCCAGCAACGCCGCGUGCAUGAUGAAGGUCUUCGGAUCGUAAAAUGCUUUUCUGAGAGAUGGGAAAGGACAGUAUCUCAGGAAUAAGUCUCGGCUAACUACGUGCCAGCAGCCGCUGUAAUAC